UACGGAGGGAGCUAGCGUUAUUCGGAAUUACUGGGCGUAAAGCGCACGUAGGCGGCUUUGUAAGUUAGAGGUGAAAGCCUGGAGCUCAACUCCAGAAUUGCCUUUAAGACUGCAUCGCUUGAAUCCAGGAGAGGUGAGUGGAAUUCCGAGUGUAGAGGUGAAAUUCGUAGAUAUUCGGAAGGAACACCAGUGGCGAAGGCGGCUCACUGGACUGGUAUUGACGGCUGAGGUGGCGAAAGCGUGGGGAGCAAACAGG
rnacentral:rRNA from 1 species